UACGUAGGUGACAAGCGUUGUCCGGAUUUACUGGGCGUAAAGAGCGCGCAGGCGGUCGUUCAAGUCGAGUGUGAAAGCCCCCGGCUCAACUGGGGAGGGUCAUUCGAUACUGAUCGACUCGAAGGCAGGAGAGGGAAGUGGAAUUCCCGGUGUAGUGGUGAAAUGCGUAGAGAUCGUAAGGAAGACCAGUGGCGAAGGCGGGUCUCUGGACAGUUCCUGACACUGAGGCACGAAGGCCAGGGGAGCAAACGGG
rnacentral:rRNA from 1 species